rnacentral:rRNA from 1 species
AGAGUUUGAUCAUGGCUCAGGAUGAACGCUGGCGGUAUGCCUAAUACAUGCAAGUCGUGCGGAAAGGCCUCUUCGGAGGUACUCGAGCGGCGGACGGCAGAGUAACGCGUAGGAACAUACCCCAAACUGAGGGAUAACUGCUCGAAAGAGUAGCUAAUACCGCAUGUGGUCUUCGGACUAAAGCUUCGGCGGUUUGGGAAUGGCCUGCGUUCGAUUAGCUAGUUGGUGAGGUAAUUGCUCACCAAGGCGACGAUCGAUAGCUGGUCUGAGAGGAUGAUCAGCCUGACUGGAACUGAGACACGAUCCAGACUCCUACGGGAGGCAGCAGUAGGGAAUUUUCCACAAUGGGCGAAAGCCUGAUGGAGCAAUACCGCGUGCAGGAUGAAGGCCUUCGGGUCGUAAACUGCUUUUAUGUGAGAAGAAUUUGACGGUAACACAUGAAUAAGGGUCGGCUAACUACGUG